GUUCUCACUUCGGCAGCACGCAUACUAAAAUUGCAAAGAUACAGGGAAGAUUAACAUGGCCCCCGUGCAAGGAUGACACUAAAAUUUGUGAAGCAUCCCAUAUUUUU
ensembl:snRNA U6 U6 spliceosomal RNA